rnacentral:lncRNA from 1 species
AGGGGGUCGAAAUAUUGUUGACAAAAUGAAAACCACCGAAAUGAGAUGAUCAAAAACCAGCAUAUGGUAUUGUGGCACAUUGGAUUUUGGGGUAAAACUUGGAGCCCAAGGUGUAAUGUGUAGCCACCAAGUAAUUUCUUUAUUAUUAAAAUUAGUUAACCAUAAUUAAGGGCUAAUUAGGAUUAAGAGAGUAAUAUAAAAAGCAAGAGAGUGAAACAAAAAUGACUUUAGCAUAAAUCAAGUGGGGAAUUUGGGAGAAGCAGAACAAGAGUAAAGGUUGGAGAAGGAGGUAAAUACGUUGUCAAUUCCUCUUUUCCAAUAAAAGCAAAUUAUGUUUUCUUUAUUAUUACUAUAACGUUAAUGGUGAAAUGAUAAUCAUUUGGACCUUAUCUCUUUAUAAUACUGCUAGUAUUAACAAGAAGAGUUACUAUAUAAAAAAAAAAAAUUUAAAAAAAACAAACAAAGAGUAUAUACUCUGUGCGUUCAAAGCUUGAAUUCUUUGCAAAAAAUCUAUAUUAAUUAGGGUUCUAUAUACUUAAUUUGGGAAUUUUGAAUAAAACUAUAAAUUGCUUGUGAUGUUGUGUUGAAGAUUGAUAUGGAGUGUUUCAGUUUGGGGAUGGCACGAAGGAGGGUGGAUGUUGCAAGGGUGUGUAGCGGCGAGGGGUCGAGGGCGGCGAAACCACCGCCGUUGGUGUCGUCGGGUUUUCGGGGAAGAAGGAAGCCACAAGAGAAGGGGGAAACUAGAGGGGGGAGAUUUGUGCGGAGUGCGUGUGUUUUGGUGGGAAAAUAAAAUUGAGAUAGGGUAAUAAAAUAAAAGAUAAAAUUGAUUUAGGACACUAUUAAAACAAAUAAGGACUAAGGAGUGGGAUUAAUAUCGAAAGGAAUUGAAUUAUUUAGAAGAGAUGGAGUGUAAUAUUAAUUGUUGAGUUGAUAAAUUUUGGGGAUUUAAUAAUUUAGUUUAACAAUAAAAUAAUAAAUAAUAAGGGUAAUUGGUGAUCUCUUAAUUUGGAGUUUUAAAGGUUUAUUAAUAAUUUUCAGCAAUAAAAUAUUGGGGUAAUUAAAGUAAAGUUUUUGGAUUUAAAUUUAAGACUUGGAAAAUAGAUAUAAUAUGAAUAAAAGUUAACAAUAAAAUCAUAGUUAUUAGUGAGGUGUGGAGACAAGAUCUAGAAUAUAAUAGAGGUGGCAAUAAUAUUGGGAAUUGACUACUGAGGAGUAACUUUAGAUUUAGUUUGUUAAUAAAUUGUGAAAUAUUCAUUACUAAACAGGUUGUGUGAUCAUGGAAUCAGAAAUAAUAAUUUAUGAGGGAAUUAAGAACUACACGAAUUGCAAUGGAACCUUGUUUAAAAUGGAUAAGUAAUCAUUGUACCAUUAAUAUAUAAUAUAGAUCACCCGGAAAUGGGAAUGGUUAAAUAAGAUCAUUGAUUAAUAAUUUGAAUGAUAAAAUAAAGUUAAGGGUUAGAUGUAAAUAAUGAUCCUUAUUGUUGGGAUACUAAUAUAUUAUUUCGCGUGACUUAGAAUAUCUAAUAUCCGGAAGGACUGAGCCUGAUUAUACAUAAUGAUCACAAAAAUACUACCAAGCUAAGGACGACAGGCAAGUUCACUAUCUCUCUCUCGACGUGAAGUUUUUCGUGCCUAUUUGAUAAUUGUGUGAAAAGUUUUGAUUGUGAAGAUAUUACAUUUCGUACCAAUAUGAAUCGAGAAAAUAUCUCCGUUUCACUUUAAAGACUUUAAAGAUAUUGUUCAUAUAUUACUUUCUAUAAUUCGAGCACUCCCAUUGUUCGGGAAUGAGCUGGUUCUAAUAAACGAUAAUAUUUGAAUUUUCGAAACUUGAAGUAAAUACAUUGCAGCGAUGAUCUCGCCACAAUUAACUUACUUCCUUUUUGGAGAUCAUCUCAUUCUUUGGAAUCUAGUUCUUUUAAUUAUCCUUCACUUCUACCUUCGGGUAAUCUUUGUUGAAAGGGUGCAUUGUUCGCACUUCUUUGGUAGAAAUGAGUAGUGAUGAUUGAGAAGUGUUUGUUUGGGAGAAUUUCUUUGUACUCGGAGGAAUCUGUUUAAGCUGGUCAACACGAAUUUAUUAAAUUCGUGGUAGAGUUGAGAAUUUACUAUCUGGUAAGGCAGAUAGUUUAGGGUUACCAAUGUUAACCCUUAUGCUAGCAAAUGAGAGUGGUAGUUGUGUCUUGUGCGGUUACGAUCAGGCUGCAAAGAUCACACAGGAGAACGGUAUUCACGAAAUGGUGCUGAUCGAGCCAUGUAGUGUUACCGAGAGGUGGAAGACCAGCGUUUUCUUUACUUGAACUUGUGUUGUCAUUUGUCGGUAGCUGCUUUGUUGCUUUGACUUAAAUUGUUUUCGAUGCCUUAUGUGCAUAUUUUGUUGAUUGUUGUUUUGUUCUAUGUGGACUUGCUGAGCAAUUUGAUUGCUCAUUCUUGCAUCUAUUUUAUUCUUUUUUUUGAGCAGUAAAUAGUGAGUAUGGCACAACUCAAGAGAACCGCCCGGAAAUGGGUUUUUGGCAAAAGCAGGGAAAAGGCACAUCACCCAAGAGGAGAUGGCUAGACUACGCCGCUUGGUAGUACAAGCUAUAGUUAUUAUAAUGGUCUGAAAUCAGACUUCCCUUUAUGUAAUAAAGUUAGACUCGGUAGUAAUGUUUUAAGGCGAUCGACCCUGGACUUGUGGGGCAAGAGUUUGAUUGUGUAAUCUUAAAUAUGUAAUGCAAGUAUUGUUUUAAACCAGAUGUAUAGUGGCGGACCAGAUCUGCGGGAUGCGGAUCUGGGGGCGUCACAUUUUCACAUAAAUGGGUCCCUAUGGAUAUAUGAAUUUGUUCACGACCAUAUUUGAGGCAGUCGGGACUGAAUCGGAG